rnacentral:rRNA from 1 species
UGGGGAAUAUUGGGCAAUGGGCGCAAGCCUGACCCAGCCAUGCCGCGUGAGUGAUGAAGGCCUUCGGGUCGUAAAGCUCUGUGGAGGGGGAAGAAACCCGUUGUGGCUAAUAUCCACGACGAUUGACGGUACCCCUUUAGCAAGCACCGGCUAACUCCGUGCCAGCAGCCGCGGUAAUACGGAGGGUGCAAACGUUGCUCGGAAUCAUUGGGCGUAAAGCGCACGUAGGCGGUUUGUUAAGUCGGGUGUGAAAGCCCUGGGCUCAACCCAGGAAGUGCACUCGAAACUAGCAGGCUUGAGUAUGGAAGAGGGUCGCGGAAUUCCCGGUGUAGAGGUGAAAUUCGUAGAUAUCGGGAGGAACACCAGUGGCGAAGGCGGCGACCUGGGCCAAUACUGACGCUGAGGUGCGAAAGCGUGGGGAGCAAACAGGAUUAGAUACCCGCGUAGUCC